rnacentral:lncRNA from 1 species
GUCUGAGAGAGAGCCAAGAUGAAUAUGGCCUUCCAAGAAGACAUGCUGACAAGAAAAGACUCAGAGUGCCCAGGAGCUUCCCCUUCCUACCAACCCUGCAGCCUGGAACCCUAGCCAUACCUCUCCCUGACUGUGGACAGUACAGCCUUUGAGCUGAGCCAAGCUGCUCCCCUGGCGAUUUCCAUAAGAGUACCACUUAUCAGCACCUUGGACAGCAUACAAAUGAUUCUGCAUCUCCAGGAAGAACUGGUCCUUCAGCCAAGGGCAGCACUGAGCCCCAAGUGGCCCCAGAUGAGUGCAAAGGACUACCAGUUUUGAUCAGCGACUGGUUGAAUUCGUGGAUGCAAAACCUGUGGAUACAGAGGGACAGAGGCCUACUGUACAUGGCACAUGCCUCCUGAAAAGUGUCAAGAGGUGAUUCUGGGACAGAGGAGCCAGCAGAUGGACUGGCUCCAGGAAGAGUUCCUGAGGUGUCUGAACCAAU